rnacentral:lncRNA from 1 species
GGUUAAAAAAAAAAACUUUAAAAAAAUUGGAGGCAGAGUCUCGCUAAGUCACUAAAUUGCCAAGGCUGGGCUCGAAUUUCUGAUUCUUCUUCCUCAACUUCCUAGCGUGCUGGAAUUAUAGGCAUGCGCCACACAGCCUAGCUGAGAAAUACUUUCUUACAGCAUUUCAGUCAAUCCCAGAAAAUCAAGACUCCACAUCUCCCUGGCUGCAAUCUGACCUUUACGCUUCAUAAACUCCACUAGGAAAGAUAAGUAGUUUCCCCAAAGCUUUCCACAAAGAAAACAGAAUAAUGUCAAGGGUAAGCCGUGGGCUCGCUGUAGGUCCCCCCACGCUCCCGCCUCGGGAUGCCCCGUGGGCUGCUCGUCCCCUCGCCGGGAAUCCCCACCCGCACCGCCGGUAACCAGGGGAACAUCCUCGAGAGGAGACGCGGGGUUGACGAUGGAUCUACGUUUACUCGUUGGUGGCUUUUUCCACUCUUCCUUGGUGUCCACAUCACACGUCAGGCCGACAGAAAUUUUUAUCCUUGACUUAAUUCUUCAGCACAGCGGGCCGCAGCCUUUCAGAGGGCCUCCUGUGGCCUUGAGAGACCGAAGCCUGCUCUCUGGGAGCUGUCGAGCGACUCGGUCCCCAGCGAGGCGAGGGCGGGGUCAGAAGCGCUAGGAGAGGCUCAAGCGGGACCAGAUCGGCGCCCAGGACUCCUCCCGGCAGCGUGGCCUCUGACGGCCUAGGCCUGUCCCCUGCAGCCCAGUGUUGCCGCGCCCACACACGGACGCAGCCCCACCGCAACCCCCCGUGCUCAAGCGCGCCCCCACUCGACUGCUGCCAGCUCCCCGCUCCCAACCUGUCCAGGCUGCACGACGUGGAGCUGGAACCAACUUUUUUCACUCCUCCGCUGCCCGGGGCCAGUGCUACCCGGAUGUCUGCAUGGUCAGCAGGCUGCGCAAAGCGGCGCCUCCUGGAGCCCCCGGCGCCCAGGACCCAUACUGCUGCGUGGCCGGGGGGCCCUUAAGUGCUGCAGCACGGUCAGGUCGUCCUCUUCAUGGUCCUCAAUCUUCCUCAGCAGCAGCAGCCCCCCGCUGCUGGCCCGGCCGUGAUUGCUCCACAAUUACACCCCUGCCUGGACUGUAUGAACUGUAACCAGCUUGAAGCUGGCCCUUAGGGACAGGCAGCUCAGCUGCCAUUGCUCCAUCCUCUGAGAUCUGAUGCCAGUUUACCAUGUAUUAGGUACAUUAAAGGAAAUGUUUCUUUCUCAGAACGAACUUCUCAGUACGAACGUGGUGAUCUGCUUAAACACAUAGUCAAUGUCUUUGUAUUUUUUAUUUAUGUGCAUUUUAGCAUUACAUUUGGAUUGUCUUGCUAAAAGGGGAAAAUUAAUGAGCUAUAAUAGAAAGCACUUUUUUCCUUCAAACAUCAUCUCACUCCAGCCAUUUUAAAACAUUUUCCUAACAUUCAGUGAGUACCUUCUACAGUUUGUCAUUAUCCCCAAAGUUCUAAGUUAUUGACCUCUUUGUAAAUUUGAAAAUACAGGUUUUUAGAAAAAUCUGUGUAUGCCUACAUUUUAUAUUAUGUAGAAUCAAAUGCAGUGUGUGUUAGCCAUUGCCCCACAGCACA